CGGCCAGGUUGAACACCAUGGCGCUGGAGUCCCGCUCGCUGUACUUCGUGGAGGAGGUGAUGGCGUCGAAGAGGUCGCCACCCUGAAGGAGGCGGAGGCGUCUGCUGUUUUGCUGCAGUGCGUGAGCAAGUCGUCCUGAGCGUAGCGAAACUUCUCCGGCCCGCACGCCAUGAACACGUCGUCAUCCCCGAAGAAAUCCUGCAGACAGAAGUUGGGGCUUUUAUUGUGACACAUGGAUGAAGAGGCCCGACCCUCCCUCAGUGUGUCUGUGGGGCGGGGGGUCGACAGCUGGGACCCGAAGCAGCCAGACCGCCCCGCCCUUUACUGUCAACAAAACCAGUCAAC